rnacentral:rRNA from 1 species
UACAGAGGUCCCAAGCGUUGUUCGGAUUCACUGGGCGUAAAGGGUGCGUAGGUGGUCGGGUAAGUCUGAUGUGAAAUCUCUGAGCUCAACUCAGAAACUGCAUUGGAUACUAUCCGGCUAGAGGAGUGGAGGGGGGACUGGAAUGCUCGGUGUAGCAGUGAAAUGCGUAGAUAUCGAGCGGAACACCAGUGGCGAAGGCGAGUCCCUGGACACUUCCUGACACUGAGGCACGAAAGCUAGGGGAGCAAACAGG